GACGAACGCUGGCGGCGUGCUUAACACAUGCAAGUCGAACGGAAAGGCCCUGCUUUUGUGGGGUGCUCGAGUGGCGAACGGGUGAGUAACACGUGAGUAACCUGCCCUUGACUUUGGGAUAACUUCAGGAAACUGGGGCUAAUACCGGAUAUGAGCUCCUGCUGCAUGGUGGGGGUUGGAAAGUUUCGGCGGUUGGGGAUGGACUCGCGGCUUAUCAGCUUGUUGGUGGGGUAGUGGCUUACCAAGGCUUUGACGGGUAGCCGGCCUGAGAGGGUGACCGGCCACAGUGGGACUGAGAUACGGCCCAGACUCCUACGGGAGGCAGCAGUGGGGAAUAUUGCACAAUGGGCGGAAGCCUGAUGCAGCAACGCCGCGUGCGGGAUGACGGCCUUCGGGUUGUAAACCGCUUUCGCCUGUGACGAAGCGUGAGUGACGGUAAUGGGUAAAGAAGCACCGGCUAACUACGUG
rnacentral:rRNA from 1 species